CCUACGGGAGGCAGCAGUGGGGAAUAUUGGACAAUGGGCGAAAGCCUGAUCCAGCCAUGCCGCGUGUGUGAAGAAGACCUUCGGGUUGUAAAGCACUUUCAGCGGGGAAGAAAGCCUUGGGGCUAAUACCCUCGAGGAAGGACAUCACCCACAGAAGAAGCACCGGCUAACUCCGUGCCAGCAGCCGCGGUAAUACGGAGGGUGCGAGCGUUAAUCGGAAUUACUGGGCGUAAAGCGCGCGUAGGCGGUCUGAUAAGCCGGUUGUGAAAGCCCCGGGCUCAACCUGGGAACGGCAUCCGGAACUGUCAGGCUAGAGUGCAGGAGAGGAAGGUAGAAUUCCCGGUGUAGCGGUGAAAUGCGUAGAGAUCGGGAGGAAUACCAGUGGCGAAGGCGGCCUUCUGGACUGACACUGACGCUGAGGUGCGAAAGCGUGGGUAGCAAACAGGAUUAGAUACCCCAGUAGUC
rnacentral:rRNA from 1 species